GUGCCAGCAGCCGCGGUAAUACGAAGGGGGCUAGCGUUGUUCGGAAUUACUGGGCGUAAAGAGCGCGUAGGCGGACAGUUUAGUCAGAGGUAAAAGCCCAGGGCUCAACCUUGGAACUGCCUUUGAUACUGGCUGUCUUGAGUUCGGGAGAGGUGAGUGGAAUGCCGAGUGUAGAGGUGAAAUUCGUAGAUAUUCGGAAGAACACCAGUGGCGAAGGCGACUCACUGGCCCGUUACUGACGCUCAGGCGCGACAGCGUGGGGAGCAAACAGGAUUAGAUACCCUUGUAGUCC
rnacentral:rRNA from 1 species